CCUACGGGCGGCAGCAGUGAGGAAUAUUGGUCAAUGGACGGGAGUCUGAACCAGCCAAGUAGCGUGAAGGAUGACUGCCCUAUGGGUUGUAAACUUCUUUUAUAAAGGAAUAAAACGAGGCACGUGUGCCUUUUUGCAUGUACUUUAUGAAUAAGGAUCGGCUAACUCCGUGCCAGCAGCCGCGGUAAUACGGAGGAUCCGAGCGUUAUCCGGAUUUAUUGGGUUUAAAGGGAGCGUAGAUGGGUUGUUAAGUCAGUUGUGAAAGUUUGCGGCUCAACCGUAAAAUUGCAAUUGAUACUGGCAGUCGUGAGUACAGUUGAGGUAGGCGGAAUUCGUGGUGUAGCGGUGAAAUGCUUAGAUAUCACGAAGAACCCCGAUUGCGAAGGCAGCUUACUAAACUGUGACUGACAUUGAUGCUCGAAAGUGUGGGUAUCAAACAGGAUUAGAUACCCCAGUAGUC
rnacentral:rRNA from 1 species